rnacentral:rRNA from 1 species
GAUGAACGCUGGCUACAGGCUUAACACAUGCAAGUCGAGGGGAAACGACGGGGAAGCUUGCUUCCCCGGGCGUCGACCGGCGCACGGGUGAGUAACGCGUAUCCAACCUGCCUCUGACUGAGGGAUAACCCGUCGAAAGUCGGCCUAAUACCUCAUGGCAUCGUCUGCGGGCAUCCAACGACGAUUAAAGAUUUCAUCGGUCAGAGAUGGGGAUGCGUCUGAUUAGCUUGUUGGCGGGGUAACGGCCCACCAAGGCGACGAUCAGUAGGGGUUCUGAGAGGAGGGGACCCCACAAUGGAACUGAGACCCGGUCGACGCGCCUACGGGAGGCAGCAGUGAGGCAUAUGGAUCAACGGGCGGUGGCCUGCACCAGCCAAGUCACGUGGAGGAUGACGGCCAUAGGGGUUGUAACCUGCUUUUAUGAGGGGAUAACGUGAGGGGCGGGUCCUUCAUUGCAGGUACCGGAUGAAUAAGGACCGGCUAAUUCCGUG